AUUUUUUAGCUUUGCCCUGGCCCUUGAUGAUACUGUUAGCGAUCCGUGCCAGUGCUUUGCCUAGCUCCUCGGUCUGGUCCCUGAGCAUGUGUUUGUUGCUCCCAUCAAGGACGAAGGAAAUAGAGCUGAAUCAGACAGACAAACAUCUGUCCCUGAACUCUACACACCAGCUGACAAAGCCUACACAGGUAUAAUUCAAAUAAUGCAUGUCACAACAAGAGGCCCAGCACUUCAAGCCAAGCCUCCCCCUCCUCUCUCCCCACCAGCAAAAUGUACAUCGCAUCUCACGCCCAACCUGGUCUCAGGUAUUCCGAGGAAGGAAGAUGGCCCAUGUGGAAUGAUGACAGCUUCCUGCAGAGUCACAUACAGGUUGAUACAGUUCAGUUGUUGGUGGUAACAUGCAACACAGCACUGCUUGCUUCAGUAAAUCUUCAAAUCUACCAAUUUGAUGACUCGGUUGGAGGCAUUUCAAGCUGCCCUUUUCAAGUUUCCUAAAUUGGUGUAGUUCUGUCCUUGUCUAUUGAUGUUCUGUAUUAUGUCAUGGUUCAUGUUUUGUGGGGACCCCAGGAUGAGUAGCUGCUGCUUUCACAACAGCCAAAGGGGAUCCUAAUAAAAUACCACAUUGCAAAAUAACCUUGUGUGGAGUGAGGAGCCAUAAGUAUGUUGGGUCGUCAUAGUUGUGGCUUGAGAUAUGCUAAAUAGGCAGUCUUAAAUUAACCAACCAAAACGAGGAAGAAGAGAACAGAGAGAACUCCUUCCGAUUCUAGAACACUGGGAAUUAAAAUAACAUUCUGUCUUAUUCAGCAUUCUAUUAUACCACCAGCCCAUGUGACAUCUACAGACAUGGGCUAUAUUUAAUGUUAUAAUAGGAAAAACUAUAGAGAAGAGCAGUUGAGAGGAGAGGAUAGGAGGGAAGAGUGGGGAGGCGGGGAGAGAGGAGGGAAGAGAAGAGAGGAGAGAUAGGAGAGGAAAGGAGGGAGGAGAAGAGAGGAAAAGAGAAGUGUCCCUCCUGUUGCUGCAAACACAGAUAUAGGAUCUUCAUUUGAUCCCCCUGGUACAGGUCAACUUUCCUGCAAUGCAGGAAAAGUAAAACUUGUAGUGUAUUUGAGGUUUAAAAAGGUUUUUGAAGUUCAGAAUUUCCACAAAUUUCAGACUUGAUUUUCAAUUACACUUUUUUUUUAAUCAACCCCAACAGAAAACAUCCAUUAAUUAUAAUCCACAUAAUAAUUGACAUUUCCUGUUAAUGCAGGAUUAUUUUCCUGCUGUAGGACAAUGGUUCAAAGGAAGAUCCUUCAUCAUAUGUGAGUAAGCAGAGUCACAGUUUUCUCUCAUGAUUGAUCUCAACUGAAACUGUUGCCCAACAGAAACUCAAUGUCUCUCUCUCUCAAACCUGGGAUUGUACUUUUGUCCAUCACAUCAGCUGCAAUACCAUAAAUCCCCUAAACCUAACCCUUGUCACAACCCCAACACCGUGAGGGUUAAGAACAGUUUGUGCGUGUUGACAUCCUGUGAGUUUUAUAAAUAGGUUAUAAAGUACAUCUAAAAACCACUUCAACUCUGAGCAGAGGACCGACCUCACAUUAUCUGAUGUACAGUACACAUGUAAUUUAUCAGCCAUUCUUAUCCACUUACAAGAGGAAUUAUGAUAAAAUACAGAUGUGUCACCUAGUCAUCUCAGGGAUUUGAAUCAGCAACCUUCCAGGUACUGGCCCAAUGCUCUUAACUACUAGGACACACACACAACACAACAAUCAGAUCGAUUAUAAUUUCUCUAAUAUAUAAGAAUCCUCUGACUCAGUAUCUCCAUGAUAACUUCAGAUAUACUGUAACAGUUUCUACUGAGACACCUGCUGAAAGACCGAAACACCUGCUGAAAGACCGAAACACCUGCUGAAAGACCGAAACACCUGCUGAAAGACCGAAACACCUGCUGAAAGACUGAAACACCUGCUGAAAGACUGAAACACCUGCUGAAAGACUGAAACACCUGCUGAA